CAAAAAGUAGCUUAACCUAAAGCAUUCGACUUACAAUCGAACGAUAUUACACCAAUCUUUUUGA
rnacentral:tRNA from 1 species